AACGAACGCUGGCGGCAUGCCUAACACAUGCAAGUCGAACGAGACCCCUGACUUCGGUUGGCGGGUCUAGUGGCGCACGGGUGCGUAACGCGUGGGAAUCUGCCCUUGGGUUCGGAAUAACUCAGAGAAAUUUGAGCUAAUACCGGAUGAUGACGAAAGUCCAAAGAUUUAUCGCCCAGGGAUGAGCCCGCGUAAGAUUAGCUUGUUGGUGGGGUAAUGGCCUACCAAGGCGACGAUCUUUAGCUGGUCUGAGAGGAUGAUCAGCCACACUGGGACUGAGACACGGCCCAGACUCCUACGGGAGGCAGCAGUGGGGAAUAUUGGACAAUGGGCGGCAAGCCUGAUCCAGCAAUGCCGCGUGAGUGAUGAAGGCCUUAGGGUUGUAAAGCUCUUUUACCUAGGGAUGAUAAUGACAGUACCUGGAGAAUAAGCUCCGGCUAACUCCGUG
rnacentral:rRNA from 1 species